AGCGUCAACGUUCUCUUAUUACAGGGAGGAAUGGAUUGAUGUUCAUAUAACAAUAUUUAUGGCGAGUGGAUACUUCUAUUGAUCAGAUUUGUUCCGAGCUGGUAUACGACAUAUUUACCGGACUCUAUGAAUUACAGAAAAUAUAGGUACCUAAGGUUGGAUGGAUCCUCCACAAUUAUGGAUUGACGAGAUAUGGUCAGAGACUUUCAACAUCAGAAUGAUAUUUUUGCCUUCUUACUAAGUACCAGAGCUGGUGGACAGGGAAUUAACUUAAUAGCAGCUGAAACUGUCAUAUAUUAUGAAAGUGAUUGGAAUCCAACACUGGAUUUGCAGGUGACGGAUUGAGCUCACAGAUUGGGUUGAACAAAGGAUGUUAGUAGGAAAACUGUCGUGGCCUCUUUUUAAUUCCAGAUCCUCAUUUUUUCAUUUUAGUUCUCUUAGGUAUACAUCUUUGCCACCACCCCUUCCAGAAAAGAUCCCUCCUUGUAUAGCAUUUAAGUAACCUUGUAUAUGCAUGCCAACAGUCAAGAACCAUCUGUGCUUGCAAGAAAGCGAAGCUCGUGUGUGCGAUCAGACGUGGCCGAGCAAGACUGCUGUGCACGGCGGCCACUGGAUCAAGAUCGCUGCUGCGAGAGGCUCAGCCACGUGAUGCUUGGCCAAACACUCCUCUCUCCCUUACGUGUGUUCUCUCUCUAUUUUGGUGUCCAUUUGGCCUCUAUAAAAACGUUUUGUGAUAUGCCUGUUGAUUUUGGAUUCCAUCUUCAAAUGAAAUUUCAGUCUUGUCUUUCU